AUUGAACGCUGGCGGCAGGCCUAACACAUGCAAGUCGAACGGUAACAGGAAGAAGCUUGCUUCUUUGCUGACGAGUGGCGGACGGGUGAGUAAUGUCUGGGAAACUGCCUGAUGGAGGGGGAUAACUACUGGAAACGGUAGCUAAUACCGCAUAACGUCGCAAGACCAAAAAGGGGGACCUUCGGGCCUCUUGCCAUCGGAUGUGCCCAGAUGGGAUUAGCUAGUAGGUGGGGUAACGGCUCACCUAGGCGACGAUCCCUAGCUGGUCUGAGAGGAUGACCAGUCACACUGGAACUGAGACACGGUCCAGACUCCUACGGUAGGCAGCAGUGGGGAAUAUUGCACAAUGGGCGCAAGCCUGAUGCAGCCAUGCCGCGUGUGUGAAGAAGGCCUUCGGGUUGUAAAGUACUUUCAGCGGGGAGGAAGGGAGUAAAGUUAAUACCUUUGCUCAUUGACGUUACCCGCAGAAGAAGCACCGGCUAACUCCGUG
rnacentral:rRNA from 1 species